rnacentral:lncRNA from 1 species
ACACAGAGAAGAGCAGGAGUGGAGGUGUGCGCAUAAACAUUUGCCUCGGAGAAAGAAGUGUUUCCACCAGGAUGCUCUCAAGGAGGAUUAAAUAGUGGAAUGAACCUUCCAGCUUGGUGGAUGUGCUGGAGUGAAUCAGAAAGGGCGAGUUUCCUGAAGGCCUGGGAAAAGUUUCCUGAAGGCACAGUGGAAAGCUGUGCCACUGCAUGCGUGCCCCUCUCUGUCGGUCGGCACGAGGUCCCUGCAGGUGCCUGCUCUCUGUGCACCUGGGAACAGCAACUGCAAACCCGAGUGGGUGCCUGCCAUCACCCAACAUCCCUCCCAUGUGAAGUAAUGCCCUCCUCAUCCCGCAAAGAAAUGCAGGGAAAAUGGCUCUCUGCCACAUCUUGCCUGAAGACCAUACAUAUAUCACUGGAGAUCAGAGGAAGAGAUGACACACGCUGGCAUCAGGCAGGAUUUAUGGAAAGCUGCUCCUGUGACAGUCGUCUCCUACAUGACCUCUUGCAGUUCCUUCUAAGACUUCUUUCUUUUACUCCUUGUAAAUAUUCCUGGUGCAGAGGCAUUGAAAUAUUACAAAAAAAUAUUUGUAUACUCAUAAGGCAGAUGGAUGUGCUAAUUUCUCCAUGA